rnacentral:tRNA from 1 species
UAAAACUUUUGAGUUAUAGCUUCUAACUAUAUAUGUAGUAAAAAUAUUUACUAAAGUUUU